rnacentral:rRNA from 1 species
CUACGGGUUGCUCCAGUGGGGAAUAUUGGGCAAUGGAGGAAACUCUGACCCAGCCAUGCCGCGUGAGUGAUGAAGGCUCUAGGGUUGUAAAGCUCUUUCGCCGAUGAAGAUAAUGACGGUAGUCGGAGAAGAAGCCCCGGCUAACUUCGUGCCAGCAGCCGCGGUAAUACGAAGCGGGCUAGCGUUGUUCGGAAUUACUGGGCGUAAAGCGCACGUAGGCUGUGCCGCAAGUCAGGGGUGAAAUCCCAGAGCUCAACUCUGGAACUGCCUCUGAAACUGCGGUGCUAGAAUCUCGGAGGGGGUAGCGGAAUUCCAAAUGUAGGGGUGAAAUCCGUAGAUAUUUGGAGGAACACCGGUGGCGAAGGCGGCUACCUGGACGAGAAUUGACGCUGAGGUGCGAAAGCGUGGGGAUCAAACAGGAUUAGAUACCCCUGUAGUC